UAGGGUCAUCGGUGAUUGGCACGAUUAGGCGAACUUCUUCGAUUGGACUGUCAUUAACCUCCUCUGCGCAACAUUUUUUUUGCACAGGGCUUGUUCUAUCUUCAGUAUGUUUUGUGAUAAUUCAAAAAUUUCUGGUGGAAAAGCUCCUGUUUUGCAAAGAGAGAGAAUGUUCCAUUUGCAUCUUCCAAACAAAAGAAUUGAGGCCAAAUGCUCAACUUCACAAGCUAAGAGUCUUCUUGAACUUGGAAGAUAAGAUUUGUCAGGAUCUAAAAAUAGGAAGAAAGAAGGAGAACUGGUGUGAUUCUGUACCUUAAAAAGUUGGACAACCCUUGACU